rnacentral:rRNA from 1 species
AUUCCAGCUCCAAUAGCGUAUAUUAAAGUUGUUGCAGCUAAAAAGCUCGUAGUUGAACUUCUGUGUAUGCCCGGUUCUGGCUUCGGUCAAGCCGUGGUGUGCACAUCCGCUUGCAAACUUAGUCCGGCCUUCAUUGGUCGACUAAGGGAGUAGGCUUUUUACUUUGAAAAAAUUAGAGUGUUUCAAGCAGGCAAUGGCUCGAAUACAUUAGCAUGGAAUAAUGGAAUAGGACUUUUGUCCAUUUGGUUGGUUAUUGGACAUUAGUAAUGAUUAACAGGGACAGUUGGGGGCAUUAGUAUUUAAUUGUCAGAGGUGAAAUUCUUGGAUUUAUUAAAGACUAACUUAUGCGAAAGCGUUUGCCAAGGAUGUUUUCAUUG